UUUUUUUUUUUCCAUUUCUUUUUCUUUAUACCUCAAUGGAAUAUAAAUCCAAAAGGAUUUUAGGCAAUUUAUUAAAAACAUUAUUACAAUAGUAUAAAAGUAAAUAGUUGAGGAAAUCAGUAAAGUGAGAAAAGUAACAAAAAAAGGAUAAAACGAGGAAUAAGGUUUAAAAUAAAAAUGCUGGGCAGCCCGGGUGGGUCAGCAGUUUAGCGCUGCUUUCAGCCCAGGGUGUGAUCCUCGAGACCCGGGAUCGAGUCCCACAUUGGGCUCCCUGCAUGGAGCCUGCUUUUCCCUCUGCCUGUGUCCAUGCCUCUCUCUCCCUUUGUGUGUCUCUCAUGAAUAAAUAAACAAAAUCUUAAAAAAAAAAAAAAAAAAAAGAUGGUCGGAAAGAAUGUCCUAAAUGUCUCCUUCUAGGACAAGAGAAAGGAAGGAAGGGACGCCUGGGUGGCUCAGCAGUUGAGCAUCUGCCUUCAGCUCAGGUCGUGAUCCUGGGGUCCUGGGAUUGAGUCCCACAUCGGGCUCCCUGCAUGAAGCCUGCUUCUCCCUCUGCUUGUAUCUCUGCCUCUCUUUCUGUGUGUUUCUCAUGAAUAAAUAAAUAAAAUCUUAAAAAAAAAAAAAGAGAGAGAGAGAGAAAGGAAGGAAGUGGACAGUGAGAAGCCAGAUCAGUUUGAAGUGAAGAAUAAGAAAUUGAAGGUGUCCACGCUGGACAGUUUCUAUUUUCUCCUUAACGUAGUAGCCAAGAUACAGCUCUUAAAAAAUAAAAAUAAAAGAUAAAACUAAAAAUGCUUCUCAAGGUAUUUAUAUAGAUGCUUAAAGCUGUGUAGUAUGACACAGUGGGAAAUUUUCCAGUAGAUUACCUAGUGGAUAAGGCCACCAGAUUUAAAAAUCAAAUGAACUUGAGUUCAAACCCUAUUAUUGCCACUUAUAAACUGUAUACCCUGUCCACGCUUCAGUAUCCUGACUUGUAACAUAGAGAUAAUGUUCCAAGGGAUGGUUGAGAGGACUAAAUUUAAAUGAUGUACUGAAAGCUAGCAUGAUGCCUAAUAGACUAAGCACUAAGUAUUUUGUAGCUCUAAGUAAAUGCAUGCAAUUAUAAAUAUAAGUCAUUUUCUUAUACAGUUGACCCUUGAGCAACACAGGAUUGAACUGCGUGGGUCCACUUACAUGUGAAUUUUUUUAGAAGUAUAGUACAGUACUGUAAACGUUUUUUCCUUAUGGUUUUCUUUUUUUUUCUUAUUUAUUUUUUUUUUUUAUGAUAGAGAGAGAGAGAGAGAGAGAGAGAGAGAGAGGCAGAGACACAGGCAGAGGGAGAAGCAGGCUCCAUGCACCGGGAGCCCGAAUUGGGAUUCGAUCCCGGGUCUCCAGGAUCGCGCCCUGGGCCAAAGGCAGGCGCUAAACCACUGUGCCACCCAGGAAUCCCUCCUUAUGGUUUUCUUAAUAAAAUUUUCUAUAGCUUACUUUAUUGUAAGACUACAGUAUAUAAUACAUAUAACAUUAAAAAAUACAUGUUAACUGUUUAUGUUUUUGGUAAGACUUCUGGUCAACAGGAGGCUAUUAGGAGUUGAGUUUUGGAGGAGUCAAGAGUUAUAUAUGGAUUUUUCAACUGCACAGGGUUCAAUGCCCCAUCUGCCACUAUUCAAGGGUCAACUGUAGAUACUAUGGAUACAUGGUAAACUAAUGACAUAACCAAAUAAGAAUUUGCUGAAAACUUACACUAGAGACCAGUCCUAUAGCUCCCCAAUGAUCUGAUUUCCCUGAGGAUGAAGUCUAAAAUGUCAGGAAGAACUGAUGGUCUGCAUAUUUCUAAAGCAAUUUCCAUGACCUUUUCUGAUAAAGAAUUGGCUAACACAGCAUCCAAAGACUUGAAGGUCUUCAAAAGGCCUCUGUGCACUGCCAAUCAAAUGAAGAGCAAGACCAACAUGUUCUUUUAAGAAGGAAUCCUCCCAAAAUAUGGCUACCACAUAUUCCUGGGGUGGGGGUGUGGGGGUGGGGGUAGGCUUUAGACAGAGCCAAAUUCUUCCUCAUAAAACUCAGCUCCAUUCUGGGUGCCAGGGUGGCUCAGUCAGUUAAGCAUCUGGGUUCGGCUCAGGUGACUAUCUCAGGGUACUGGGAUUAAGUCCUGUGUUGGGCUCUCUACCCAGCGAGGAGUCGGUUCUCCCCUCUGUGCUCUCCUUCUUUCAAAUAAAUUAAUUAAAUUAAAAACACCUCAGUUCCAUUCCGAUGUAUAGAUAGACAUACGUCACUGCAAACUAUAACCUCUUCACAGCAAUUAAUUUAAAAUAGGAAAAUUUUAAGGUUGAUAUUACCAAUGACCUGCUAGUAUAGCCAUCAGAGUAAAAGAAAAGUUAAUGAAGUACCCAUGGGGCAUCUGGUAAGUAUUUUCCAAGAUAAAUUUUUUGCAAAAUGGACCUACAAAAUAACAUGAUAGAAUUGGUGUCAGAUCAUCUGCCAAGAUGGUAAUUGACAAUUUUAGCAGAGUGCAUUUAGCAGGACCAGUUGUCUAUAGAGACUAAUCAUAGUAUAGAAUUCUUCUCUCUCUGGUUUCUAUGAUCGGGGUGAGGGGUGGAUGCAUCUAAAUCAUCCCAAACUGGUUUCAAGUCAUUAACAUACAAGCUCAAAGGAAGAGAGACUGCAAUUCAGAGUUUUAAGACUUAAAAUAACAAAGUAAAUUCUAAUACAGUAUUUUACCAGAACCAUUUUAUAGCAUGCAUGUAAAAAUAUAUAGAGCAUCAAAUUACAUGCAAAUUAUUUUCUUAGCUAUACCAGUCUAUUUCUUCAUGGAAAUAGCAGGUAAUUGGUGCAGAAUUAAGGUGGUGCUAAUGGGAAAAGAAGUGAGACAUCAUAAAGUGAAAAUUAGAAUUUAGAGCUUAACUCGAUUAGAGAGUAGGAAAGAGGGAAA
rnacentral:lncRNA from 1 species